rnacentral:rRNA from 1 species
AGCAGCCGCCGCGGGAAUACGUAGGUGGCAAGCGUUGUCCGGAAUUAUUGGGCGUAAAGGGCUCGCAGGCGGUUUCUUAAGUCUGAUGUGAAAGCCCCCGGCUCAACCGGGGAGGGUCAUUGGAAACUGGGAAACUUGAGUGCAGAAGAGGAGAGUGGAAUUCCACGUGUAGCGGUGAAAUGCGUAGAGAUGUGGAGGAACACCAGUGGCGAAGGCGACUCUCUGGUCUGUAACUGACGCUGAGGAGCGAAAGCGUGGGAGCGAACAGGAUUAGAUACCCCCGUAGUCCCUGUCUCUUAUACC